rnacentral:rRNA from 1 species
UCGAGAAUCUUCCGCAAUGGGCGAAAGCCUGACGGAGCGACACCGCGUGCAGGACGAAGGCCCUCGGGUUGUAAACUGCUGUCACGCUCUAGGAAUGCCAUGUCGUUAAUAGCGGCAUGGUUGACCAAGGCGAAAGGAAGUGGCGGCUAACUCUGUGCCAGCAGCCGCGGUAAGACAGAGGCCACGAACGUUGUUCGGAAUCACUGGGCAUAAAGCGCACGUAGGCGGCUAGGUCCGUCCGAUGUGAAAGCCCCCGGCUCAACCGGGGAAUAGCAUCGGAUACAGCCUGGCUUGAGGACGGUUGGGGUGAGUGGAACUCCUGGUGGAGCGGUGAAAUGCGUAGAUAUCAGGAGGAACACCGGUGGCGAAAGCGGCUCACUGGACCGUUACUGACGCUGAGGUGCGAAAGCUAGGGGAGCAAACGGGAUUAGAUACCCCCGUAGUCCCUGAGCGGGCUGGCAAG